UAGAACGUCAGUUUCCUCCGGAAUUCAUUCCAGUCACCGUCCUUGAUAUGGAUUGGAUGUCGCUAUAAAGAAACCAAGAAGGUGGCAUUAGAAAUCAAGAAGAAAAUCACAGAGACCCCAGCAUGGAAAUGGGUGCAGCAUGUGAGCUGUGAGUGCCCCAAACACAGAUGGCCCAGGAACUCAGCAAAGGCUUCCACUUCUUGUUUGACCCAAGAAAUGUCAUGCAAAGGAACUCCUGCAAACCUUGCCCAUCUCCACACCUACACCCCAGGGAAGCUGCCACCUGGGCUGGGAUGCCCACUGCCCCAGGCUGAGCAAGGGCACUUCUUUGGGGAGCUAAAAUCCUUCAGCCCCUGGACCAUCACCCUCUUUUCUCAGAGAAAGCCCUCCUCCCAGGCCUGCUCUUUCAUCAGUACUCAGCUCAAGAAGAUGCCAGAGGUCUUCUCCUUUGCAGAGCCUGGAUCCACUUUCUCAAAUCCCCAGGCACCCAGAGGCAAGUAGGGCAGAGACAUCUUUGCUGAAGGCCCUGUGAAGCCCAAGAGCACAAGAGAUUUGCCCUGGCCUGAGGGGGCUCCCAGUACAAAGGACUUUUAGCUUUAAAAAACCAGGAUGGGUCCAGGCAAACCUCACUGUAGUGAGGAUCUCUAUGCUGUCCCUGAUUGGUGAGUCUCUCGUCUAUACAUAGAACCUUACAUUUGGCUUCAUUUGUAGGAGUUUAGUUUGAAACAUUUACUUUACUAUUGAGCACUAACGUUUUCCAAGCAUUUUCUUGCAUACUGGAUCUCGCAGGUUUGCGAUGGACUUUUUCAACUCUGAAAACUUUCUGAUUUAUCCACUGAGUCACAUUCUUGUCACUCUACUGAACAUGUACAGUAUUCCAUGAGGCUGGGAUGAGGUUUUAGCUGCUAUUGAAAAGCCCAUGGCCUGGAAUGACCACACUUCAUUUCUGCAGAGAUGCCUGUGCCAACAGGGCCAAGAGGUCACUGACAGCAGGUAGGAGAUGGAUUUGGAGUUCCUGGGUCUCUCUCUGGUCUUGGUAAUUGUAACUGUACUGGCCUCUCCAACGGUUGUUUUCUUAACUGAAAUUGCCGUAGUUUUUCACUUUGAAACAUCUAGGCUGUAUUCACACACCAAUGUUUAUAGUGGCUGUCUUAUCCCGUUAGGGCUGCUAUAAUAAAAUACCAUACUGAGUGGCUAUUCAGAACAGAAAUUUAUUUCUCACAGUUCUGGAGGAUGGAAGCUCAAGAUCAAGGAACCAGAAGAUUUGGUGUCCGGUGAGGACCCACUUUCUGGUUCAUAGACAGCCAUCUUCUUGCUAUAACCUCACAUCGAAGAAGGGGUAAUGGAGUUUUCUGAGGUGUCUAUUAUAAAGGCCUAAGCUUAUUCAUGAGGGCUCUGCUCUCAUGACCUGAUCACCUCCUAAAGUCCUCACCUACAAAUACCAACACAUUAGGGCUUAGGUUUCAACAUAAGAAUAUUGAGGCAUAGAUAUUCAGUCUGUAGCUGCAGCAUUAUUCACAAUAGCCAAAAGGUAGAAACAACCCAAAUGUCCAUCAGUAGAUAAAUGGAUAAACAAAAUGUGGUGUGUAUAUAAGUGGAAUAUUACUCAACCUUAAAACGAAAGGAAAUUCUGACAUGUGACAAUAUGGAUGAACUUUGAAGACAUUGUGCUAAAUGAAAUCGGUCAAUACA
rnacentral:lncRNA from 1 species